UACGUAGGUGGCAAGCGUUGUCCGGAUUUAUUGGGCUUAAAGGGUGCGUAGGCGGCACUGUAAGUCCGUGCUGAAAUCUCCCGGCUUAACCGGGAGGGUGGCAUUGAUACUGCAGGGCUUGAGUACAGAUGAAGUAGGCGGAAUUGACGGUGUAGCGGUGAAAUGCAUAGAUAUCGUCAAGAACACCGAUAGCGAAGGCAGCUUACUGAGCUGGAACUGACGCUGAGGCACGAAAGUGUGGGGAUCAAACAGG
rnacentral:rRNA from 1 species